UGUUGCCUUGGUUCUUGUCAAGAACUCUGCAUUCGGUGAAACUCAGCUUCUGAGUUCUGGAGACCUUGGAUAAAAUAAUGCACAGUGUUGUAGUACAGAGUAAGUGCUCUCACACAGUCUGAAAUGUUCCACAUUUGGAGUACCCACUGGACUCUGAGUGGAAAGGUACACACCUUACUUCAUGUAGGAGGAUCACUGUCAAAAUACAGGCUCACUAAAAAUGUAGUAUAUAACAUAUUCAAGAUAUGUGUUUAAAUUGUAUACAAAACAGUAGUUAAGUUCAUGUUUAGACUUAAGUUUCAUGCCAAGAACAUGUCAUGUUAAAUACAAAGACUCCAGCAUCCAAGAAAGCAUCAAAUCCAAAAUAUUUUCUUCCCAAGCAUUUCUGAUAAUGAACACUAAAUUUCAGUCUUAAAAUUCAAUCACUUUGUUAGCAGUUAGGAAAUUGAGUACUUCAUUGAUGUUAUGUUAAAUGCCCCACUCUGCUUAUUUGUCAAUGAAUGAGAAAUCUAAUUCUUAAAUUUAGAUCUUUAAAGAAUAUAUCAGUUUAUGUGCACAUACCCAGUUACUCUAGAACCAACCAACAAUUGGUUAAGGUCCAUUAUAAGGUAGAGGGCUUAACUUUUCUUUGAGAGAAUGAAUUAUCUUUGGAGAAGCAAAUACAUUGUGAGAAGUUUCAGGUAAGAUUUGUUUUUUCCUUUUAGUUUCACCUAAAAUUGUUGUAUUGAAAUCUAAGCAAUGAACUGGGAGAAUAUUUUCUCCAAAGAUAAUGUUUCAUUUGCCAGAUGGACAAGAGUAUGAGCCUCAGUGGAGGGAUUCCUCCUCAUAAUUUCUGGCAAAUAUAAUUUGUACUUCUUUGUGGUUGUCUAUGGUUCCACUGACUGUUGAAGUAAUGUAUUUUCUCCUUAAAGGAACUUGUUAUUCUUAGAAUUUCAGGUAAAUCACCUGUUCCUAAGUCGUUUCAAUUCAAUGUUCAUACUAAAAUGUGUAUACUUUACAUGUUAAAACUGAAGCAUACUACUUCCUCCCCAAUAAACUGAAUCUGCUGCCACUGUCACUGUCUUGGU
rnacentral:lncRNA from 1 species